rnacentral:Y_RNA from 1 species
GACUGGUCUGAUGGUAAUGGAUCAUCAAAACUUAUUAACAUUAGUGUCACAAAAGUUGAUGUACGACCCCUCCACUGCUAAAUUUGACUGGCUUUAA